CCUACGGGCGGCAGCAGUGGGGAAUAUUGGACAAUGGGCGAAAGCCUGAUCCAGCCAUGCCGCGUGUGUGAAGAAGGCCUUCGGGUUGUAAAGCACUUUCAGUGGGGAAGAAAGCCUUGGGGCUAAUACCCUCGAGGAAGGACAUCACCCACAGAAGAAGCACCGGCUAACUCCGUGCCAGCAGCCGCGGUAAUACGGAGGGUGCGAGCGUUAAUCGGAAUUACUGGGCGUAAAGCGCGCGUAGGCGGUCUGAUAAGCCGGUUGUGAAAGCCCCGGGCUCAACCUGGGAACGGCAUCCGGAACUGUCAGGCUAGAGUGCAGGAGAGGAAGGUAGAAUUCCCGGUGUAGCGGUGAGAUGCGUAGAGAUCGGGAGGAAUACCAGUGGCGAAGGCGGCCUUCUGGACUGACACUGACGCUGAGGUGCGAAAGCGUGGGUAGCAAACAGGAUUAGAUACCCCAGUAGUC
rnacentral:rRNA from 1 species